CAGCAGACACAUUCCAGCCAAUCAGCAGCUGACCCUCCCUCCCAGACCCUCCCACCUCCUGGACAGCAUCCAUUUUGAAGCUGCAUUCUUAGUGAGCUGUCCAGGAGGUGGGAGGGUCUGGGAGGGAGGGUCUGCUGCUGAUUGGCUGGAAUGUGUCUGCUG